rnacentral:rRNA from 1 species
GACGAAGGGGGCUAGCGUUGUUCGGAAUUACUGGGCGUAAAGGGCUCGUAGGUUGCCAACUAAGUCAGACGUGAAAUCCCUCGGCUUAACCGGGGAACUGCGUCUGAUACUGGAUGGCUUGAGUUCGGGAGAGGGAUGCGGAAUUCCAGGUGUAGCGGUGAAAUGCGUAGAUAUCUGGAGGAACACCGGUGGCGAAGGCGGCAUCCUGGACCGAUACUGACGCUGAGGAGCGAAAGCCAGGGGAGCAAACAGG